rnacentral:lncRNA from 1 species
CAGAAGCCUUGCUGGUGAAAUUGCUACAUAGGGGGAGCUGAGGAGUGGAAAGAGCAAUUCAUUAGCUCAAGGUCCUACAGGAAUGUGGUAGAGAUGGCAGCUGAAUCCAGGACUCCUGUAUCACAGAGGCUGUUUCCCAACUCUCUGAACAUCCCUGCAUUUGAUGGCACUCCACUUAGAUAACUGCACAAUCAUUCCACAUCUCGCCGUGAUGGGAAGUCUCUGGAAAUUCUGAGUUAGGUCUGCCUGCAAGAUUAAUGCAUGGAAGAGCUGCCAGGCUUUUUGUGAGUGCCUGGAAACAGAAAAACAUCUCCCAUCCAUCUCCUGAAUGUUGCCUAGCACCUUGUCCUUCUGGAGAUAGAAGACAAUAUGUUAAAGCCCGAGUAACAUUCUACAUCAAUUUGCACCAGUGCAGCUCUACCAGAGGGAAAAAAGGAAAAUAAGAGAAGGAAGGAGAGACCUAGAGCAAUCAAGAAGAUGGCCAAGCAAUCAGGAACAUGCCAGCCCAUGCUGAAUAUGGGCAUGUGCACUUCCACCUGAGAUAUAAGAAGACCCAUUAAUUUCCCUCUAAAGAAGGUUCUAUGCAUU